UACGUAGGGAGCAAGCGUUGUUCGGAUUUACUGGGCGUAAAGGGCGCGUAGGCGGCAGAUCAAGUCAGCUGUGAAAUCUCCGAGCUUAACUCGGAACUGUCAGCUGAUACUGUUUUGCUAGAGUGCGGAAGGGGCAAUCGGAAUUCUUGGUGUAGCGGUGAAAUGCGUAGAUAUCAGGAGGAACACCGGUGGCGAAGGCGGCAUCCUGGACCGACACUGACACUGAGGAGCGAAAGCCAGGGGAGCAAACGGG
rnacentral:rRNA from 1 species